rnacentral:lncRNA from 1 species
CCUCGGCAUCUACACCACUUGUAGCAGCAGUUGAUACAGCCAUAUCUUCUGCUUUAACAGUUUCAGUUACAGCAUCAGCCAAAUUUACAUGAUCUUCAGGAGUUGGUUUAUCUGAACAUGAUUCAUCUUCGAAAGAAGUAGCAUCUCCUCUUGUAAUAUCCACUUUCUUCGUGAAGGCAUUCUUUUCCUCGGCAUCUACACCACUUGUAGCAGCAGUUGAUACAGCCAUAUCUUCUGCUUUAACAGUUUCAGUUACAUCAUCAGCCAGAUUUACAUGAUCUUCAGGAGUUGGUUUAUCUGAACUACAUGAUUCAUGUUCGAAAGAAGUAGCAUCUCCUCUUGUAAUAUCCACUUUCUUCGUGAAUGCAUUCUUUUCCUCAGCAUCUACACCACUUGUAGUAGCAGUUGAUACAGCCAUGUCUUCUGCUUUAACAGUUUCAGUUACAUCAUCAGCCAAAUUUACAUGAUCUUCAGGAGUUGAUUUAUCUGAACUACAUGAUUCAUGUUCGAAAUAAGUAGCAUCUCCUCUUGUAAUAUCCACUUUCUUCGUGAAGGCAUUCUUUUCCUCAGCAUCUACACCACUUGUAGCAGCAGUUGAUACAGCCAUAUCUUCUGCUUUAACAGUUUCAGUUACAUCAUCAGCCAAAUUUACAUGAUCUUCAGGAGUUGGUUUAUCUGAACUACAUGAUUCAUGUUCG